GACGAACGCUGGCGGCGUGCUUAACACAUGCAAGUCGAACGGAAAGGCCCUGCUUUUGUGGGGUGCUCGAGUGGCGAACGGGUGAGUAACACGUGAGUAACCUGCCCUUGACUUUGGGAUAACUUCAGGAAACUGGGGCUAAUACCGGAUAGGAGCUCCUGCUGCAUGGUGGGGGUUGGAAAGUUUCGGCGGUUGGGGAUGGACUCGCGGCUUAUCAGCUUGUUGGUGGGGUAGUGGCUUACCAAGGCUUUGACGGGUAGCCGGCCUGAGAGGGUGACCGGCCACAUGGGGACUGAGAUACGGCCCAGACUCCUACGGGAGGCAGCAGUGGGGAAUAUUGCACAAUGGGCGGAAGCCUGAUGCAGCAACGCCGCGUGCGGGAUGACGGCCUUUGGGUUGUAAACCGCUUUCGCCUGUGACGAAGCGUGAGUGACGGUAAUGGGUAAAGAAGCACCGGCUAACUACGUG
rnacentral:rRNA from 1 species